AGAGUUUGAUCCUGGCUCAGGAUGAACGCUAGCUACAGGCUUAACACAUGCAAGUCGAGGGGAAACGAUAUUGGAAGCUUGCUUCCGAUAGGCGUCGACCGGCGCACGGGUGAGUAACGCGUAUCCAACCUGCCCACCACUUGGGGAUAACCUUGCGAAAGUAAGACUAAUACCCAAUGACGUCUCUAGAAGACAUCUGAAGGAGAUUAAAGAUUUAUCGGUGAUGGAUGGGGAUGCGUCUGAUUAGCUUGUUGGCGGGGUAACGGCCACCAAGGCGACGAUCAGUAGGGGUUCUGAGAGGAAGGUCCCCCACAUUGGAACUGAGACACGGUCCAAACUCCUACGGGGAGCA
rnacentral:rRNA from 1 species